CUAUACCUGGCGUGUUCUGACCUCCCAGUCUCUGCCCCCACCUUACACGCAGCCACCUUUGGUUUUGCAGUUUGCAGCCCUGCCCCGGGGGCUCCUGAUCACGCUCUGCCAUCAUCGUACAUCUUUGCAUCUCUGCUCGUCACUCCUCCACCUGGAAAGCUCCUUUGCCAUAUUUUUUUUUCCCCACAAGCAAAAUUCUACUCUCCUUGAAAGUUCCAACUCUGGCACUCUUCUUUCUGAGGUUCAGUCCGUGUUGCCUCUGGAGGUGGCUCCUUUCCUCCUGCUGUGAAUGCGUUCAUCGCGAUUGCCCCAGUGUGUUUGGCUAGCAUGCCUGUGUCCAUGCUACCUGUCACGUGCAUUGGAGACACUCAGGAGCCCAGCUGUUGGAAUUCAAAAAGGAAUUUGUUUCCCGUGGACCUGAGUUUAUUUACCAGCGGAACGAAAGACGGGAAUAGAUUGUGUCUUCAGUCCCUUGCUGGGCACGUCUUCCCCCUGCCUCCCCCACCUGCAGCACCUCCGUCACCACCGAGACGGACGCCUUUUCUUUGGGAUACAUCAGUAAAGGAGACAGGUAAAAUCUGCACCCAAAAAAACUUUGCAAAAAAUUGAGAGAGAAGCAAGAGACAAAUAUUUUCUAGGUCUAUUUACGAUUAAUGUAUCGAUGAUCAGAAUCUGCUCAUGUUACUUUUGACAGUACGAUUCUAGUAACAAAUUUUAAGCAUUUCUUUCAGUGAAACCACCAGGCCAUCUCUUCCAAAGCAGUGAUCAUAAGCUAUUUUGAUGAGUGUUUUUCCUACCCAACAUAAUCUUCCAAAAAUGGCAUCACAAUGAAAGACAGUGACGUUUGCCCCGAAUCUUGGUUUGAGUGCUAACGGGAAGGUGCACGUUAGCUUUGACUGCAUUGGCUUCCUUCAUCAAGAAUAUUUUUAAAUGAUAUAACCUUUCAAAAUCUUUAGUCUGUUCCAUUUAGUUCUCUCAAAGUUCUUCAAAUAAAGGCAGCUUUUAUCCACCUGCAUGGAUGGAUGGAUGGAUGGAUGGAUAGAUAGAUAGAUAGAUAGAUAGAUAGAUAGAUAAUUUAAGGGUAUGGACAAAGCUUUGUCAUACUGUGUGUAUUAAUGAUGCUGCGGACUGUCACUUAGUUGUCAGCUGACUAUGAUCUGGUUACAGUGCUUUCUCAUACUCUGAUUUACCCAACAACAACCAAAAAAAAAAAAGCAGAGGUCUUUUAUGUUAUUUACUUUAUUUCCGGUGUUCACGACCCCUCGGCACAGAAGGACGAAUAGAGGUGAAACAUUUUCGGGAGGUGAAAUGGAAGAGGAACAGGAACGCAUCUCAAACACCAGCGCUCCUCCUGAGACGUGGGGGCAUCGGUGGCGUGUCCCCUCCAGUCAGGGUAGAAGUAGCCCUUUUGGUGCUUGGCCCAGACGUGGUAGCUCUGGGCUUCACUGGAGACCAUGGCUUUUGUCGUGCCAAGCAUAGGGACAGCCAAUCCUUCUGGAGGUUAUGCUCAGCCUCAUCCACUUUUCCGUCCCCUCCUAAGCAACCAGUUAUACAUACUCAAGUUUGAAACCAGCAUUGGUAUUGAUGUAACUCAAGGGAUCGUGCUAAAUUUGGUAUAACCUGGCAAUGAGACCACAGACAGGAAGCUGGGAUCCAAGAGUCCCAGCCUUAUCACACCAGGAACUUCUGUCUGCACGAAGAAGGACACAGCGUGUUAUCAACAAAAGCAUCCUGGUGCCAUGGAGACCUCGGGCCCUUGUCAGUACAAAGGGACUUCUUUACCUCCCAAACAAUGCAAUUCUAAAAAUACACAGAUGCAUUCUUUGGAUUGAACAAACUAUGGGAAUUCUAGCUUUGCAUA